UGGGGAAUUUUGGACAAUGGGCGAAAGCCUGAUCCAGCAAUGCCGCGUGUGUGAAGAAGGCCUUCGGGUUGUAAAGCACUUUUGUCCGGAAAGAAAUCCUUGGCUCUAAUACAGUCGGGGGAUGACGGUACCGGAAGAAUAAGCACCGGCUAACUACGUGCCAGCAGCCGCGGUAAUACGUAGGGUGCAAGCGUUAAUCGGAAUUACUGGGCGUAAAGCGUGCGCAGGCGGUUUGCUAAGACCGAUGUGAAAUCCCGGGCUCAACCUGGGAACUGCAUUGGUGACUGGCAGGCUAGAGUAUGGCAGAGGGGGGUAGAAUUCCACGUGUAGCAGUGAAAUGCGUAGAGAUGUGGAGGAAUACCGAUGGCGAAGGCAGCCCCCUGGGCCAAUACUGACGCUCAUGCACGAAAGCGUGGGGAGCAAACAGGAUUAGAUACCCUGGUAGUCCACGCCCUAAAACGAUGUCAACUAGUUGUUGGGGAUUCAUUUCCUUAGUAACGUAGCUAACGCGUGAAGUUGACCGCCU
rnacentral:rRNA from 1 species